rnacentral:rRNA from 1 species
UACGUAGGGUGCGAGCGUUAAUCGGAAUUACUGGGCGUAAAGUGUGCGCAGGCGGUCGAUCAAGUCGAGUGUGAAAGCCCCCGGCUCAACUGGGGAGGGUCACGCGAUACUGAUCGACUCGAAGGCAGGAGAGGGUAGUGGAAUUCCCGGUGUAGUGGUGAAAUGCGUAGAUAUCGGGAAGAACACCUAUGGCGAAGGCAGCUCUCUGGGACGGUACUGACGCUGAGACGCGAAAGCGUGGGGAGCGAACAGG